rnacentral:siRNA from 1 species
ACAAAGACUUUUUAUGCUUCAGC